CUACGGGAUGCUGCAGUGGGGAAUAUUGGACAAUGGGCGCAAGCCUGAUCCAGCAAUGCCGCGUGUGUGAAGAAGGCCCGAGGGUUGUAAAGCACUUUCAAUUGUGAAGAAAGGUUGGUGGUUAAUACCCACUAACUGUGACGUUAACUUUAGAAGAAGCACCGGCUAACUCCGUGCCAGCAGCCGCGGUAAUACGGAGGGUGCGAGCGUUAAUCGGAAUUACUGGGCGUAAAGCGUGCGUAGGCGGAUGAUUAAGUCAGAUGUGAAAGCCCCGGGCUCAACCUGGGAACUGCAUUUGAUACUGGGCAUCUAGAAUGUAGUAGAGGGGGGUAGAAUUCCUAGUGUAGCGGUGAAAUGCGUAGAUAUUAGGAGGAAUACCAGUGGCGAAGGCGGCCCCCUGGACAAACAUUGACGCUGAGGUACGAAAGCGUGGGGAGCAAACAGGAUUAGAUACCCGCGUAGUC
rnacentral:rRNA from 1 species